rnacentral:lncRNA from 1 species
AUUUUUUGACUCGAUGCUGCGCAAAAUGCCGCAGUGUGCGCUCUAGUGCUUUAAUUGGAAAAUUACCUAUUGACGAUAAUAGAAGUGGUAAAUGUUCAUUGUGAUGCAACUGAAAAUGAAAAUCUUUUGCCAUGGUGUUGUCUUCAGUUUAGAGUCUUCUAUAGUUAAGGAACAUUACAAAAACUGGAUGGCAUUAAAUUACAGAGCAUUGCUUGUAUCAGUCCUCAUUCCCUCGAGAAAGUAGAUGUUCCUAUGGUCCUAAAGAAAACAUGUUUUUUUUUCAUUGAGGAUGAAGGCAGUUUGCCGUUGUUAAAGGAGAUUUAUUACAGUGAACUGAAAUAGCACAAGCAGAGAAGCAGAAUUAAUAUGAAAUUUCUCUUUUGAUCAAAGUGAAAGUUAGCUUUUAACUUUUGAACUUGCAAGGGGGAGGCAAGAGGAAGUUAAUUUGGAAACCACUGGAACAACAUUACCAGCAAUUGUAUCAUUUCUGGAUUUGGCUUGCUCAUUACACUUGUAGACUUUAGAACACUACAUUCCACAAUUACUUAAGAUCGUCUAACAAAUGAGAGGGAAUUAAAGUUUUUGGUCGUACUGAAACAACCAAUGUCUGGAUGGGUGUGGUCUUUCGUGGAUCAUAUUGUUGAUUUGCAGUUUUCGUCUUCGCCUUGCAACAUUAUGCAGUCAAUUUUCAACCGACGAGUGAGAGCAACUGGAGAUUUAUUCGAA